CCUACGGGAGGCAGCAGUAAGGAAUAUUGGUCAAUGGACGCAAGUCUGAACCAGCCAUGCCGCGUGAAGGAUGAAGGUCCUCUGGAUUGUAAACUUCUUUUGUAUGGGACGAAACCCUCGUUUUCUAACGGGAUUGACGGUACCAUAGGAAUAAGCACCGGCUAACUCCGUGCCAGCAGCCGCGGUAAU
rnacentral:rRNA from 1 species